rnacentral:lncRNA from 1 species
GUACACAUGUACAGACACAGACAUAUGGCCCAUGGUUGAAACACAUGCUAAACACCUUUUCUGUGCAUAUGCACAUGGUUGUAAAGAGCUUGGCAAUUGAAAGAAAAACCCUUUGUCAUGUUCAUGCUGGACUUUUCCUACUUCCUAAGUGCUGGUCGCAGUGGUCUGUGCUGUCAGCCUUCAUACUGGCAUCAGGUCAUGCAAGACUUCUCCCUGCAGAAAACUGGAAGUUCACAAGAAAAGGUGCUUUCAACUCCUGACAAGAUGAACUAGCUUGUCUGCUGCCUUUGCUCCUCACACACAAAACCAAAAAGAGAAAAGAGAAUGGCACUGAUGGAUCCAUGGCUCGAGACAAGUUGCCAGCAAUCCCUUGCAAGAAAACACAUGUGAAUUCCAUUUAAUGAUAACUCUGGAAAAAGAGGUCAGAGGAGAAUUAGAAGCCACGAACCAGGUGAGGGCUUUCCAAUUGCUCCUUUUUCUCUUCCUUUCUUGUCUGUGGGGGCAACAGUUGUCUAUAGUGGCACCACUGACAUAAGAAGCAGUAGCACCAAGUACCACAGCGUAAUCAAGGAGAAGAGGCAAACAGCCAGAGAGGAUGGAUGGUAUCAGGCUCCAGCUGAAGCAGUGAGAAGGUAAUGUCUGCAAAGGAUAGGUGGCUCUGUCCUACGAAUGAAUGUUCCCCUCCCUUUCUAAGUGAUUUUGACUGAGAGGUGUAGCUCCUGGCAAAGAACAGCACCAG